rnacentral:rRNA from 1 species
AUUGAACGCUGGCGGCAGGCCUAACACAUGCAAGUCGAGCGAGCGGCGGACGGGGGAGUAAUGUAUGGGGACUGCCCGAUAGAGGGGGAUAACAACAGGAAACGGUAGCUAAUACUGCAUACUAUCGGAUAACCCAUAUGGGAUUAGUUAGGAGGUGAGGGAAUGGCUCACCUAGGAGACGAUCCCUAGCAGGUCUGAGAGGAUGAUCAGCCACACUGGUACUGAGACACGGCCCAGACUCCUACGGAGGCAGCAGUGGGGAAUAUUGCACAAUGGGCGCAAGCCUGCUGCAGCCCUGCCGCGGGUAUGAAGAAGGCCCUAGGGUUGUAAAGUACUUUCAGUCGGGAGGCGUUACCGACAGAAGAAGCCCCGGCUAACUCCGUGCCAGCAGCCGCGGUAAUAC